rnacentral:rRNA from 1 species
CGAAGGUAGCAUAAUCAGUAGUCUUUUAAUUGAAGGCUGGUAUGAAUGGUUGGACGAAAUAUUAACUGUUUCAAGAAAAUUUAUAAUAAAAUUUUAUUUUUUAGUAAAAAAGCUGAAAUUUAUUUAAAAGACGAGAAGACCCUAUAAAUCUUUAUAUAUUUAAUUUUUAUAAUAAAUUAGAAUAUUUUUAUUUUGAAUAUUAAAUAUAUUUUAUUGGGGUGAUAUUAAAAUUUAAUAAACUUUUAAUAAAAAAUUUCAUUAAUUUAUGAAUUAUUGAUCCAUUAAUAGUGAUUAAAAAUUUAAGUUACUUUAGGGAUAACAGCGUAAUUUUUUUGGAGAGUUCUUAUCGAUAAAAAAGAUUGCGACCUCGAUGUUUGGAUUAA